rnacentral:sRNA from 1 species
GUUUUUUUGGAGGUUUGCGUUGUAUUUGGUGAUUUGGUUCUUGUCUUAUUUAUAAUGGCUUUGACAUGGUGAUUAAGGCUAAGUUUCCUAUCGAGCGUAACCCCAAGAUACAUUUGUUUGAAAUUGUUAGGAAUUCUUUGUCCAUUUAACUUAGGCGUACUUUCUUGCUGUGUUUUGCUAAGUUUGGUCAAUGUGAAAAAUACGUGGGCUGUUUUCUUUUCGUUAAUGCCCAUUUCCCAUUUUUUAGCCCAAACA